rnacentral:lncRNA from 1 species
GCCGGGCGCCGUCUCCCCGCGCGGGGGCACCAGAGCCCUCGGAAGUGUCAGGCACUGCGGCGCAUUUUCCUAGUUCCCUUUUAAAUGACUGCGGAAAAACAGAUUCUCUGAGCCGCAAAUGGAAAGAAGGAUUCUCAGACGAGACUCGCGAAAGCCCCGCAGCCACCAUUUAACUGCGCCCGCACAGCAGUUACGGUUUGACACCCGACCCUCCCCUCCCGGACGGCCUCCUUUGUCCCCAGUGGGCCCCGAGGCUCUGCCCGCUCCGGGGUUCUCCUUAGCUGGAUGCACGCUGUGCUCCGGGCAGCGAGGGCGCCGGGCACGCGUCCGCGCACACCGCACGCACGCAAGGCUGAACCAAGCCCGGCUUCCAUUUCUAAAAGGGUGA